rnacentral:sRNA from 1 species
AAGCCGACAGGAGGAACCGCCAUGAAGACCCGUCACAUCCUGAUGCUGGCCGCCGGCGUCGCCGCGCUGGCCGCCAUCCCGCUCGCCAUGGCCCAGCAGAAGGGUGGCCAGACCGAGGCGCUGGACCAGCGCGGUGCGCAGGCGCAGCAGACCGCCGACGAGCAGGCCAACGCCGAAGCCCAGGCGCGCGCCCAGCGUCGUGCCGCCGCCGCCGCGCAGAAGGAUCGCGCCGUGAAGGAAGGCAAGGUCGGCGCCAAGGAAGAGGAAGAGGAAAAGCCGCUGCGCUGAUCCCGCCCGCAUCGAGUACAUGCCAGGCGCCCCGGUUCCGGCCGGGGCGCCUGCUUUUUUGUGAGAGCGUCG